GAGGCUGGAGGUGGCUGCUGCCCGGGCUGCCAGGAGAGCUGGCAAAUCCAGGAGUCCCCCAAGCCUUGGCCCUCUCCUGCCAGUGUGGGGAGACCUGGGGCUUGGGCACACCGAGGCCUCAGUUAUAGCUGCAUCUGAGCAGAACCCCACAUCAUGAUUCCAUCCAGCUGGAGAUUAUGGGCCCCUCUGUCCAGACAGGAAAGAAGCAGGGAGUCUGGAGAACAGAGAGCAGGAGGUGGCCAAUCUUAGCCCUGUGACCUGGGCCGGGCCUAGUAUACCCCCAAGGCUCAGUGUUCUGUCUGAACCAGCUGCCCUCCUGACCCUGCCAAGCCCUCACCCUGCAGGGACUGUGAGAGCGUCUCCUUCAUCGGCCGGCCAUGGCGUGGCGUGCACGGCCACCUGAACCUGCCCAUGUACAAGGGCAUGAUGGAGGCCAUGCUGUACCACAUCAUGACCAGGCCUGGCAUCCCCGAGGGCUGCCUGCUGUGCCACUACCAGGGGGUUCUGCAGCCUGUCGCCGUGCUGGAGCUGCUCCAGGGCCUGGAGUCCCUCGGCUGCAUCCGGAAGUGCUGGCUGAGAAAGCCAAGGGCUGUCUCACUCUUCUCAACACCUGUGGUGGAAGAAAUGGAGGCAUCCUCCAGCCUGGGCGAGAGCCCCAUGGCCUUCUACGAGCCCACCUUGGA
rnacentral:lncRNA from 1 species